rnacentral:rRNA from 1 species
UACGGAGGAUGCAAGCGUUAUCCGGAAUGAUUGGGCGUAAAGCGUCCGCAGGUGGUAUUUCAAGUCUGCUGUCAAAGAGUUUGGCUCAACCAAAUAAGGGCAGUGGAAACUGAAAAACUAGAGUGCGAUAGGGGUAGAGGGAAUUCCUGGUGUAGCGGUGAAAUGCGUAGAGAUCAGGAAGAACACCGGUGGCGAAAGCGCUCUACUAGGUCGUUACUGACACUGAGGGACGAAAGCUAGGGGAGCGAAUGGG